rnacentral:misc_RNA from 1 species
AGCAGCCGCGGUAAUUCCAGCUCCAAUAGCGUAUAUUAAAGUUGUUGCAGUUAAAAAGCUCGUAGUUGAAUUUCGGGAUCAAUAUGUUGGUCGUGCCUCGGUACGUACUAGCUUAUUGGUUUCUCCUUUCUGAAGAACCAUGAUGUCAUUUAUUUGGUGUCGUGGGGAAUCAGGACUGUUACUUUGAAAAAUUAGAGUGUUUAAAGCAGGCUCACGCUUGAAUACAUUAGCAUGGAAUAAUGAAAUAGGACGUUUGAUUCUAUUUUGUUGGUUUCUAGGAUCGACGUAAUGAUUAAUAGGGAUAGUUGGGGGCAUUAGUAUUCAAUUGUCAGAGGUGAAAUUCUUGGAUUUAUUGAAGACUAACUACUGCGAAAGCAUUUGCCAAGGAUGUUUUCAUUAAUCAAGAACGAAAGUUAGGGGAUCGAAGACGAUCAGAUACCGUCGUAGUCUUAACCAUAAACUAUGCCGACUAGGGAUCGGAUGAUGUUAAUUUUUAAUGUACUCA